rfam:Coniochaeta ligniaria NRRL 30616 unplaced genomic scaffold CONLIGscaffold_4, whole genome shotgun sequence.
GCCCGCUUAGCUCAGUGGUAGAGCGCAUCACUAGUAUAGCCUCCUUACAACGGGAAGUGAUGAUGAGGUCGCCAGUUCAAUUCUGGUAGCGGGCA